rnacentral:lncRNA from 1 species
GCAAACAGAUAUGUUUUAUGAGCAACCAAUUAGUAUGCAUGCUUUUCUGGGCAUACAUGAAAGAUGGAAAUUUGAUUUUGAUACAAUUAUUCUAAAACUAUCCCUUUUUCUUUGUCAUUUAAAAGAAUGAUCCCUAGCUAGCAGGACCAGUGGUCAGGGAUGGUGGGAAUUGUAGUCUCAAAACAUCUGGAGGGCCGAGGUUGAAGAAGCUUGGAAUAUACUCUUGGUGGUAUAGAACUGAUAGAAUUAUUUCCUCGGGCCUCCUCGGUUUAGACUGAGGAUGUCCGUUAAAACCACAUUUGAAGGAAAUAUGAUUGCUGCCCCCUCUGGACUCAACACAAUGUUUUGUUGGAGUCUGUUGCUGUUGUUGUGAUUUUGCAAUUUUUUUAAGAACUGAAUUUGUGGUUUGAAAAACCAAGUUUUAAAUAGCUUAAUUGCAUGGUUUGGAUUUCACACUUUUAAUUGUUGCUGAAGCAUGUUGGGGAUAUAAAUUGAAAUAAUAAAUAACUAUAAGUUAUUCCAAAAGGAUCUUUUCAAAUGGUUAACAAAAUGGGAAUUGUGAUGCAAUGUAGGUAAGUGUAAAGCAUGGGCGUAGCUAAGGGAUCCAGAAAAUUUUUUGAAAAGCAGAAGCCCAGUAAUGUCUGUAAUGCCCCUUAAAAAAGCUUAAAAACUUUGGGAAGAUCCCCUAAAAAAAGCUCAGCAGCCUAGGCUGCCCCCCCCCACUUGCCCAAUCUCUAUCUUGCUCACCAGAGUUGUGACUAGAUCCUUUUAUAUUUCGGGUGAUGGACCAGAUAAGACUCAAUGGCUCUAGUCUCGAAGCCCCUUGCACAAUACAUUUCCCCCCCUUGUGCAAGUGGGAGGGGUGUUGCCAACUUCUGCUAGUUCCUGUUCCCCUCCCAGCCAGUGGUAUAGUUACAUAAUUUUAGACUCCAGGUUUAAAGACCGUAGCACCUGCUUUCCCAUUUUUGGAUGGUAAUAUGUAUUAAUUCACUUACUUCAAAAUGUAGUAAGCGGGAUGGGAUGGGCUGCAUUCUGGAGCUUACCAGUUCGGCCAAUUCUGCCUGAGUGGGAUUUGCAGGUUCAGCUGAUGGCAGUGUUUGCCAACCCAGCUGGGAUUGGCUGCUCUUGGGAACCCCACUUUGGCAGGCCUUUGCAGCCAGGCUUGUGUUCAAAUCAGGUUGCGAGGGAAGGAAGGAAAGAAUUAAGAGUGCACUUAGUGCGGUCCUGAUUCACUUUUAAAAAAUAAAAUAAAAUCAGAUGGUGAUUGAAUAUUGGGCUGCCUCACUCACCUUUCAAAAUAGCCCAGGGGGGUGGGGAGCUCAGGAUCCAGCCCCCUGGAAAGAUCCUCUUCCCCAUUCCUGGUUUAAGCAAAACUGAGCUAGAUAAUUGACAAAUGUUGGUAGCUCAACAUGGUGGCACAGCGUAAGGAACAUUGUCUUACAAAAAACAAUUACCUGGCAUGUUAGAUUCUUAUCUAGAAAAACUAAACUGGACUCUUCCUUGGGAGUGGGGUGGGACUUUGGCUCUUAUAUUAAUGAUGAAAAUCUGUACCAAUUUCUUUUUCCAGCCUCAUUGGACAUAUUGAAGCUUCGAUACAUAUACUGAAGUUGGUUUAUUUUAUCCUAAUGUUGUUGUUUUUCUUGCAUAAUGAAGAGAUUGCAUCUAUUUAUGCUAUAUUUUGUAACGUACAUUUUGUUUAUUUUCCUGAUCACUUACUUUGAUCUCAACCCUGGUUCUGUCUUGGUUUUUCGUUCAUCUGUUACUAAGGUAGAUGAACCAGUGGUAUGACUCAGUACAAUAGUGCUGGAAGAUAUUUGUGUGGUGAUGCAAUAAGUUUUGUUUCCCUUCCUAGGUCUAGAGGAAUGUUAAUUGUGUAUCAUUCUGUCUUUCUUGAGCAUGCAUAUAUAUAUAUAUAUAUAUAUAUCACAUUGAAAUUAGCUUGAAGGAAUUUUGAUUAAUUAUAUUCCUGUAAGCCUGUUAUUUAAAGCACAGAUUUUUAUCGCUGAUUUUUGUGUGAAUUGAAUCAAACAUCUAAGCAAGCGUGAUAGAUCAAACUUUGGUCUGAUGUUGUUAGAAGAUAGUAUUAUCCAAAAUCUACACACUACUGAGCUGCUUCUUGUCUUGGCAGAAAGCUGUGCCUCUAAGAGAUUAUCAAGAAGGCAACCUGUCUUGCUAGGUGGUUUGAGCUCUAUUACCGUGUAUUUUUGCAUCUUUUAAAUGAAAUCUCCUGAAACUCAUAUCUGAAGUUUUUGGAAUGACGAGCAAUUGUUCUGUUUGUUUCAUCAUGUUUCCGCUGGCUUGUUUGACUGAGUGUUCAUAGCUAUGCUUUGUGUCACUGAUGGGGAUGUUUUAGUAAUUAACAUUAAUUAAACAGACUUAGUUGCCUUUAGGGGCUCUCUGGCUCAUGAUACUGCCAAAUAGUUUAUGCAGUAAACAAAAAUCUUAUGUUUUAGGAUUCUAGGGAAGCUUGACUUAGUUAGUGAGAAACUAGUUUCGGCACAGGUGAGGUGGCCAAAGUAGAAUUCAAGCUUUAGCAAAAUGCAGCCUUUAAAAGCAUUGAUUUAGUUAAAUAAAUUGUUUAAAUUGUUAUUAAGGAAAUGAUUAUUUUUCUCCUUCCAAUAAAGUGCAGCAGAAAAGUUGUCCAAAUGUAAACAGUUAACUUACUAAACCUCACAAUAAUUUCAUAAUUAUCUGUCUAUGUAUUUCUAAUAGUAUAACCAAAUCAGCAAUUUUUGUUAUAACUGUAAAAACUACUCUGAAAAUUUAUUAUUCAAAAAAACGAAACCUUCACCUGGUUGUAAAUAUUAAGAUUAUACCA